rnacentral:tRNA from 1 species
GUUUAAAUAGCUUAUUUAGAGUUUUAUAUUGAAGAUAUAAAGGUAUUUUUUUAAACU